UACGAAGGGAGCUAGCGUUGUCCGGAAUUAUUGGGCGUAAAGGGCUCGUAGGCGGUUUGUCGCGUCGGGAGUGAAAACCCAGGGCUUAACUCUGGGCUUGCUUUCGAUACGGGCAGACUAGAGGUAUGCAGGGGAGAACGGAAUUCCUGGUGUAGCGGUGAAAUGCGCAGAUAUCGGGAGGAACACCAAUGGCGAAGGCAGCUCGCUGGGACGGUACUGACGCUGAGGCGCGAAAGCUAGGGGAGCGAACAGG
rnacentral:rRNA from 1 species